CUCACCCUCACACACACAUAGAUACCCACAAAAGGAAGAAAGAAAAAGAAAAGAAAAGGGAAGAGGGAAGGGGACCGAAGAAGGAAGCAGAUGGGGGAGAAGGAAAGGCGGCACGGUGGGUGUCACUGCCACCGUCGCCGCUGCUGUGAGAGAAAGAGAUCCGAGAGAGGGAAAGAAAGAGAAGUCGCGCUGCCAUCGGACCUUGGAGGAGGACCGUGCCUCGCCACCACCGCCGCGUUGCUCCGGACCGUCGCCUCGCUAAGCCAACCCGUUCUCUCGCCGUUGUCGUCAUCAAAGGACAGAGACGCGCACAGGGGAGGAGCUGUCACUAACUUCGCAUCCAUUGCCACCAACCACGAGCCAGAGCGGGAAGGAGAUAUCAUCGCCAGCUUUGUCAGAUCUCUGGUGCUGAACUCACCUCUGCCAUCGCGUCGAAUCGCGAACAGAGAACCGCCGCCAAAUCUGUCAUUGUCGCCAGAACGCGGUGGAAGGGAUGGAAGUUGUGCCGUCAUUGUUGGGUUCAUCGUUACUGCUAUUGUGUUAUGUCACUGUCACCGCUGAGAUGCCCGCUACCGCUAUAGCCCCGCUGCCGAAAAACCGCGGCUGCAGCCACCAGAGGACGCCCCUGCAGCUGCCAAAUCCCAUUCCCCUCCAGUUUGGGUUCUGGCUCUGGUUCAUUUAUGCUAGGUUUUGUUCUUUCGAGUGUCAAAGCCGCCAUUUUCUUGUGAGUUCUUCCACUGCUGGUUGAGGCGGCCACUGUUGGAGCUUGCCGAAAUUAAUCGCUGGAGCUGCGGCUGUGUUGUACUUAGUUUCUUGUUGGUACAAGUAGCUGUGGUUGCUGUAAAAGUGGUUUGGAGUUGAGGAUGAGGCUGCCGCAUUGUGGGCCGAGAGAAAAAUCGAAUUUAUCUCGUAGCUAAGUUGUAAAUGAGGAACCAGAUGAAGCAUUAUGAAGAGUUAUACUGCGUUUGGUUUAUAUGUUGUAUUAAUUAGAUUAUUUUCUUCCCUCGCCUUUGUUAUUACAAGUUUGUAAGAGGGAUAGGAGUUGUAUGUUUUAUAUGUAUAUUAUAUUAUGAGAUAUUUUGUAAGGGGUUUUGUAUAUGAAUCUAUGCCUGCUUAUAUUUUUCUUAAGAUAAAUUAUUCAUUUCCGG